AAGAGCGGAAGCUGCGGAAGUGGAAGAGGAGAUGAGAUAUGCGAAAGUAUAGUGUAACGGUAACCUAAUGAACAACGUUUCUAUUAAAAUAAGGUGUCAAAACUGAAGCUGAAAUGAAAAGCCUCUAUUACGGAAAUAUUAUGGCUUUUACUGGAGAACUGGAGAAAAAUGUUGUAAAGAAUAGAAAUGUGGCAGGACGAAGAAAGGAAACAUUUAUUGUAAAACCCGUUCAAAAAAAUCCUGGCUUCAUCUUGCAGUGUUGUGAACGCAUAUCGUGCCAAAAUAUAAAACUUAUUAGUGUAAUAUAAAAGUCAUCACAACCUUCAUAGCCCAUUAAUUGAUGGACACGCUUGCCGGAUACAUGUCUGUUCUAAUGUUAUCCGAAAAUGAAGUGACCUGUAGACAUGUACAAUCUGGACAGGAGGAGUGAGGGGGAGGACAUUGUGUUGUAGGACAGGACGAGGACUCAGGGUUACGAUGAAAACUCAUCAGCUCGUCAUGGUCCUCGGAAGACAAGACGGAGACAGAGGAAAAAGUCAUAUUCCACCUGUUAUAGAGAUAUUUCUCCUCCUGCUUCUCCUGUUCCACCUGAUAUUCCCUACUCUCCUAAUCCCCUAUAUCCCACUUUGUAUACAACAGUUCCCCUACUCACAGCACCCUCUUUCCCAACUAUAUCUAUCUCCAUACGAAUAUAACUUUCCUUCCCCGCCUUAACCACCACCACAUCACUCACAGAUAAGGUAAAAUAAAAGUCAUCAACCUUUUAUUGAUGAUGGAACAUCCUGGAUACUUGUCAGAUUGUACCGAUAUAUUAUUAACUCUAAAAAGUACUGACAUCCUACCACGUGAUGCUAGCAUGGAUGCCUCAGCAUUAAUGUACCGAUAUAUUAUUAACUCUAAAAAGUACUGACAUCCUACCACGUGAUGAGUUUGCUAAAGCAAUAAAAAAGGCCGAAGCAGAUUUUGGUGUUCUGGCUGUAAUGCAGGUGUGCACAGGGAAUGUUUUCACUUAUUAGAACAUUUCUGGAGACCCCUUAGGCCUGAGAGAAAAAGCACAAAGCAGAGACUCCCAAGUAAACCAUGGAUGCCUCAGCAUUAAUGCCUUUUUACAGUACUUUUUGGGGUAGCCAUAGGUAAUAAAAGGAAUCAACUUGUAUAGCCCAUUUAUUGACGAUGGACAUGCUGGAUACAUGUCUGUCCGCACGAUAUUUCGAAAAUGAAGUGACCUAAACACAUGUACAAUCUGGACAGGAGGAGUGAGGAGGAGGACAUUGUGUUGUAGGACAGGACGAGGACUCAGGGUUACGAUGAAAACUCAUCAGCUCGUCAUGGUCCUUGGAAGACAAGACGGAGACAGAGGAAAAACAGUCAUCUUCCACCUGUUAUAGAGAUAUUUUUCCUCCUGCUUCUCCUGUCCUGUGAUCUGACCCAACUCUCCUGCUCCCCUAUAUCCCACUUCGUCUCAAUAGUUCCCUUACUCACAGCACCCCCUUUCCCAAUUAUAUCUAUUCCCAUAUGAAUAUAACUUUCCUUCUCCGCCUCAACCACCACCACAUCACACACAGAUAAGGUAAUGAAAGGAAUCAACCUGUAUAGCCCAUUUAUUGAUGAUGGACACAACAUGCUGGAUACUUGUCAGAUUGUACCGAUAUAUUAUUAACUCUAAAAAGUACUGACAUCCUACCACGUGGUGUGUACCAUGGAUCCCUCAGCAUUAAUGCCUUUUUACAAUACUUUUCGGGGUAGCCAUAGGUA
rnacentral:lncRNA from 1 species